GUGGGGAAUCUUGCGCAAUGGGCGGAAGCCUGACGCAGCAACGCCGCGUGGGGGAUGACGGCCUUCGGGUUGUAAACCUCUUUCGCGAUCGACGAAGGCCUGUUUUCUGCAGGUUGACGGUAGGUCGAGAAGAAGCACCGGCCAACUACGUGCCAGCAGCCGCGGUAAUACGUAGGGUGCGAGCGUUGUCCGGAAUUAUUGGGCGUAAAGAGCUCGUAGGCGGUGUGUCGCGUCGGCCGUGAAAACCUGGGGCUCAACUCUGGGCGUGCGGUCGAUACGGGCAUCACUUGAGUUCGGCAGGGGAGACUGGAAUUCCUGGUGUAGCGGUGAAAUGCGCAGAUAUCAGGAGGAACACCGGUGGCGAAGGCGGGUCUCUGGGCCGAUACUGACGCUGAGGAGCGAAAGCAUGGGUAGCGAACAGG
rnacentral:rRNA from 1 species